AAUGCAGUGAAUGUAGAUGCUUAACCUUCAUUUGAUCGUCCACCUCAGGAGACUGUAACUAAAUAUUACAUGAGAUCUUGGUUUGUAUUCUCCUUAAGUGUGCUGCCUUUGAAUUAAAAGAAAAAUGUUUGCUUGGAUAAUUGAACUUUGUGAAGGACAUCACCAGUAAAAUUGAGAAAGUAUUAACAGGAAAAUACAUAGUUUUGAUGUUUAAAGCUUAAAAAAAUUAAGAUAAUAUUUUAUUUAAAAUAUCUGAUAGUUUUUUUAACACAAGAACAAGGGAUAAAUAAAUAAAGUUAAUAAAAUAAUGCUUUUUUACUGGCAUCUAUUGCUCCAUUUAACAUAAUCUAACCUUUUCUUUGUGUGUUAUUAAAUUAUUAGAUUAAUCUAAAUGUUUACUGAGGAGUUCUUUGAAAAAAAAAAAGAAAAGAAAAAAAAAACAGUCCCCCGUUUAUUUUCAAGAGUGUAUAAGAGUUGUAUUUCAGCUGGAUCAAACAAAGCAUUUGUCUUUCUCUGUCUGUAUUGAUGGACUGAGCCUCAGUCGUUCUUCUGCAAUCAAACAUUCAUAAAGCACGAGGCUCUGCUGUGGAGGACAUCCACACAAAUCAAGAUCAUCUCAAGACGUGUGCACUGAGGAAGCACACGGAUCACAGACGCUCCCCUUCUCUCCUCCUCUGACAGACGGAGCACAUGCUCUCUCGCUCACACGGAUAAAGGACCGUCACCCGUCUUCUCCUCACUGCUCUGCAUCUGUGCUGGAUUAUCGUGUUGGAGUAUCUCAGUGGAGAAGGAGAUCCUCAUCUUCCUCACCAUCACACUCCUCCGUCAGGGACUCAUCUAGCGCUCCGCUCCAGACUCCAGACUGCAGCUUCAUGGGAAAGACGCUGGAGCAGCCCCAGAUGUUCCCGCACUACACCUGCUACUAUCCACCCUACGCUCACAGCAAGGUACAGAGACGCUCAGCUCUUCAGCGCUGCACGGCUCUCUUUGUUCUUUCUUCAGCUCAGGCUCUCUGUGAUAGUGAUGGAUUGACUGUCUUGACACUAUUAGGACGAGAUGACAGUUGUCAAGUCACAUUUAUAGUAUUUCUAUAGCACUUUUAUACAAUACAGAUAUAAAAAACAGGAAAAUAACAAUUGAGACAAAUUCAAUUUCAGAUGUAAAGCAGCUCUACAGAAGACAAUAGAGUUAUUAUUCAGCCCAGUUUAGUUCAAUAUUGAAUCAGUUCAGUGUCAGUGUUGCAAAAUGAAUCAGUUAGUUCAGUUUUAAAGAGUCUCAACAGAAGAGAAUAGUCUCAUUCAGUUCAGUUUAGUUCAACAUUGACUCCAACUGUCAAUGUUCAAUUAUUAAACAAAUUUAGUCCCUAAAGCAAUUCUUAAAAAACACAGUGGUGUUGUAUUUCAGCUCAAUUUGAUGUUAAUUUAAUUCAGCUCAGUGAUGGUGUCAAUGUUGCAAAUUCCUCAAUUAUGAAACAAAUUCUAAAUCAACGAUAAAGCAGCUUUAAAAAAAGGCAAGUGUCAUUUAGUUGAAAAAUCAAUGUUUAUUCAGUUUAGUUUAAUAAGUGUCAAUGUUGCAAAGUUAAUCAAUUGUCAAAUUAACUGAAUUUACAAUAAAGCACCUGUAUAGAAGGCA
ensembl:lncRNA